UACGAAGGGGGCUAGCGUUGUUCGGAAUUACUGGGCGUAAAGCGCACGUAGGCGGAUUGUUAAGUCGGGGGUGAAAUCCUGAGGCUCAACCUCAGAACUGCCUUCGAUACUGGCGAUCUUGAGUUCGGAAGAGGUUGGUGGAACAGCUAGUGUAGAGGUGAAAUUCGUAGAUAUUAGCUAGAACACCAGUGGCGAAAGGCGGCCAACUGGUCCGAUACUGACGCUGAGGUGCGAAAAGCGUGGGGGAGCAAACAGG
rnacentral:rRNA from 1 species